UGGCGGACGGGUGAGUAACGCGUGGGUAACCUGCCUCACACUGGGGGACAACAGUUAGAAAUGACUGCUAACACCGCAUAAGCGCACAGGACCGCAUGGUCCGGUGUGAAAAACUCCGGUGGUGUGAGAUGGACCCGCGUUUGAUUAGCUAGUUGGUGGGGUAACGGCCUACCAAGGCGACGAUCAAUAGCCGACCUGAGAGGGUGACCGGCCACAUUGGGACUGAGACACGGCCCAA
rnacentral:rRNA from 1 species